UUUACAUAAUUACAUAUGUACAUAUUAUAUGAUUAUUAAUAUUAGGUUUGUUCUAGCAAACAGUCAAACUAGUCAGAAGCCGUCAGCAAUUAGUUGCUCAGUGAGAGAACAUAAUACAGUCACCAGUGCUAUCCCCUAUCUACUCGUGCUGGUCGACUAUUCGCUGAUGGUUUCAAACCGUUUGAAACUGAUGCUAGAACAAACCUAAUAACUGUUCAAUGCUGUAAAAAUUUGUUAAUGUGGGGAAAACUUUUAUUUAAAUUCAAUACUAUAUUUCUGUAGUGGUAUGGCAAAACUUGAUGUUACGUCUGAUUUUAGCCAUAAUGAGAUUAUUUGCUUGAUAUGCUAUUUAGUAACAUUUCUUCAAGUUGGUAUAGUUUGGUAUGUGUAUGAUGAAGGUAAAACCCCCUUUGUCCCACAUGUCCCCUUUUAACUUACAGUAGAACCCUAAUUAUCUGUGCUAUGAUUUUCUAUUACUCAAGUUGCAUUUUUGAGGUUUUAUCAACAUAGCGUCAUUGUAAAUCACUUAACGGAAACUCUAUAUGACGAAAGAGAGACUCAUAAUGAAAGAUUUAUUUUUUCUGUUAUCUUUUUAUGGUAGGUACAUAAUAUUAUAAUAUGUAUGUGUAUACGUACUUAUUAUACAUAAGAAAUACAUGUUCGGAUUAUCAGUGCCACCUUCGGUCCCGAGGAGCACGGAUAAUCUGGAUUCUACUGUAUUAGGUAGGCCAGAACUUGAUAUAUUACUUGAUUUCUUAUGUUGAUUACUUUUCGUUUUUGGGUUGACAAAACAUGAUUUAAACUUUCAAAAUGCCCUCCUGAAAAAUUAGGCUAGAUGGACAUAUCAAUCAUUGUCAAAACGCUACAGAUUUAUAAUCCAUCCAACUGGUAUAUUGAAUAGUAAACUAGGGAUAAACCAACUAUGUAUAUCAAAACACAAUAUUUUAAAGAUUGGAUAAUUUACAUGAUAUGACAAACACCUAGAAGAUGGAAUCCUGUGUUCUCAAAGAAAAAUCUAGUUCCAGAAAUAAGCUACCAAUAAUAAACUAGAGAAUGUAUUACAAGAAAGAACAACGCUAAUACUCAACAUAGCUCAAUUGCUUCAGAUAGAAAAAGAGGAGGAAAGGGUAGAACACAAGCGUGCCAGAGAAAAUUAAAGGGCAGAAGAGACACAAAAAUUCAUUGAUUUAUUAAAUUUAAUAAUUAAAUUAUACAAAGGACAAUUAAAUAAAGAAUAAAAAAUUA